rnacentral:lncRNA from 1 species
CCCCAUCACCCCCCUUAACCCUCAUCCUGGCCCGGACUCGAGGCUGCGUCACUGCAGAGAGUGGCAGAAGUGCGACCUGUCCUGCGGACCAGGGAGGUAGUUUUCCCUCAACUCUCCCACCCCCGAUCCAGUAUCUUCGGGCAGCCUUCAAGCCCCCAUGAGACCCAGGAGGACAGAGAAAAGACAGUGGGGCUUCCUGCUCUUCUCUGCCCUGAAUUCUAAUGGCUCCCCAGGCCGAAGCAGUGACUCCCGAGCAGCCAGGCACGGGAUCAAGUUACCAAAUCAGCGUUUUUGCAGAGGAGAGGCUUCUGGAGGCAAUAAUGAGGGCUCGCGUUAUGGGACACGCAGCUCUGCAAACAGACCAGGGGGAAGUGGACUCGAUUUUUUGGCGACAGACACCAGGAGAAGGGAGGCCAGUGUUUGCUCAUGUCUUUAGACCCUUUCCCCAUCUCGCCGCUUAUCUUUUCUCAGGUCCUCAAGGCACCAAAUUCCUGAAAGCCCCAAACUCAUCUCCAUCAUCCUUGGUGCCCCUUCCUAACUUCCCUUCCCCCAUUCCCCAAAGCCCUGGAAUUGGGGAAGGGUCUUCCCCUUUCGGACUUCUAGGGCCCUUUCCUCCACCCCCGCUCCUAUCAGUUCCAAAUCCAGGAAAGAUGAUCUCCUGGGCACUAAAGCUGAAAAUAUGGGGACUCUGCCUACGACCCUUGGUCCCUGGAGACCCUCCAAGUACAUCUCCGCUGUAAUCUUUGAGUCCCCAUCUCCCGAGUUCCCCGCUUCCAAAACUGGGAUUUGAGCUGGUUUACCGCCCCCGGACCCUGAGCCAUCUCCUCCCCCGUACUCACCCCAAGUCGAGGCGGGGCGGGGAUGGGGGAAUCCGGGGCUGGCGAUGGGGGGAGGGGUGACCCAGUCUCCGCAGCUCUGGGCAGCAAGAAGCUGCGGAGGGGGGCAGUGACAUCAUCGCUGGAGGAGGGG